CUAUUUUGAAUCUGUAAACUAAAGUUAAAGUUCAAGUAAUUGUAAGCAUGUAUUAAGUUAUCCUUGUUCUAUAUUCAGUGAAUUCUUCAGCUGCUUCGACAUCUGCAAAUAUGAACAGCAUCCCUGUGCUUAACGGCACAAACUUUAAGGAAUGGAAAUAGAACAUUAUGAUAGUUCUCGGUUGCAUGGAUCUAGACCUUGCACUUCGGAUUGAGCAAC
rnacentral:lncRNA from 1 species